GAUGAAGAACGUAGCGAAAUGCGAUACGUAAUGUGAAUUGCAGAAUUCAGUGAAUCAUCGAGUCUUUGAACGCACAUUGCGCCCCCUGGUAUUCCGGGGGGCAUGCCUGUCCGAGCGUCAUUGCUGCCCUCAAGCACGGCUUGUGUGUUGGGCCUCCGUCCUCCUCCCGGGGGACGGGCCCGAAAGGCAGCGGCGGCACCGCGUCCGGUCCUCGAGCGUAUGGGGCUUCGUCACCCGCUCUUGUAGGCCCGGCCGGCGCUUGCCGACACAUCAAUCUUUUUUCCAGGUUGACCUCGGAUCAGGUAGGGAUACCAGCUGAACUUAAGCAUAUCAAUAAGCGGAGGA
rnacentral:misc_RNA from 1 species